rfam:Fukomys damarensis contig131700, whole genome shotgun sequence.
GGGGAUGUAGCUCAGUGGUAGAGUGCUUGACUAGUAUUCAUGAGAUCAUUGGUCUGAUCCCCA